CUAAAUUUUCUACGAAAAUCUACAAUGUCCUUUUCUAUGCGGGCUAACGUUUCGAUGACCUAUAAUAUCUACUAGGUAUAUAUGUGGAAGGACGAUUCGAAACCGCAUAUUUAAGGCUGUUUUGAAAGCUCCAAAAUUAAAUGUAGGCAUCGAAAGGAAAAGGUGAAGAAUGGGAUCCAUUAGUUUAUAUGGUCAAAGAUACAUAAAAAAGAAAAGAAAGAUAAUGAUCGUCUUCUUCUGAUCAAGUUUCCCAAUUGCUCCUUUUCUUUUAACUUGUUAUGUGAUGCUUUCUCUCGCAUUAUUGUCUACUAAUGCUUUCCCCCGCAUUAUUGUAUGCUAAUGCUUUGGGCGGUCCUCAUUUUAAUACAUAUGGGCUUUGUCUUUUCUUUUA